rnacentral:rRNA from 1 species
GAUGAACGCUAGCUACAGGCUUAACACAUGCAAGUCGCGGGGCAGCAUGGGGGUUGCUUGCAACCCCUGAUGGCGACCGGCGCACGGGUGAGUAACGCGUAUCCAACCUGCCCUUCACCACGGGAUAACCCGGCGAAAGUCGGACUAAUACCGUAUGUUGUCCAUUGACGGCAUCCGAUUUGGACGAAAGGCUUGGCGGUGAGGGAUGGGGAUGCGUCCGAUUAGCUCGACGGCGGGGUAACGGCCCACCGUGGCAACGAUCGGUAGGGGUUCUGAGAGGAAGGUCCCCCACACUGGAACUGAGACACGGUCCAGACUCCUACGGGAGGCAGCAGUGAGGAAUAUUGGUCAAUGGGCGGAAGCCUGAACCAGCCAAGUAGCGUGCAGGAUGGCGGCCCUAUGGGUUGUAAACUGCUUUUAUGCGGGGAUAAAGGAGCCCACGUGU